GGGAGCUUAGAUGUGGAAGCUCUUUGGAAACCAAGAAACACUCUGAAAAUGAAAAGGGAAGCAGAAGUUCUCCUUAGCUGAUUUUUCUUCUUGCCUUAUACUGGGUUCUUUAACACCAGAACAAAAAUAAAUAAAUAAAAGAAUCUUCCAGAAAUUCAUGAAGAGACUUCAGGUCAGGAAAGCCUGAACUUUCUCAUCCAACACCCGUUCAAGUCGGAGGAUGCUGAUUAAUUCAUGAUGGAAAGGUAUCAAUUUCACAGCCCAGACCUCUACAUUCUUGAAAUGCUCUUCUCAUGGGAGACAUUAAAUAAGCUUUGAAUUAACUGUCAGACGUUUGCUGAAUUCAGUUCUGAGCUUUUGAACCAAAAGCAGAUCUUCAGAACAAGAAACAAGAUAAUAAAAGAGAAACAUGAAGAAACUGAAGAUGAUUGGAGAAAUAUGAAUCAAGAUGAUUAGACCUAGCAGAGGGCUGGCUGGAUGGCAUUUAUGUUGACAAUGGACUCCUACACAGAGGAUGAUCAUGGUCUAGGACAUAAUAGUCAUUCAAUCAUCAUUUCUUAAAUGAUUUUUUAAAACAAGUGAAUGAAUGACCAAUUAUAUACCUUCCCUGAGCCAAUAAAAUAUA
rnacentral:lncRNA from 1 species